UACUCGAGUGGCGAACGGGUGAGUAACACGUGGGUGAUCUGCCCUGCACUUCGGGAUAAGCCUGGGAAACUGGGUCUAAUACCGGAUAGGACGAUGGUUUGGAUGCCAUUGUGGAAAGUUUUUCGGUGUGGGAUGAGCUCGCGGCCUAUCAGCCUGUUGGUGGGGUAAUGGCCUACCAAGGCGUCGACGGGUAGCCGGCCUGAGAGGGUGUACGGCCACAUUGGGACUGAGAUACGGCCCAG
rnacentral:rRNA from 1 species